rnacentral:rRNA from 1 species
GACGACGCUGGCGGCGUGCCUAAUACAUGCAAGUAGAACGAGUUGCGAACGGGUGAGUAACGCGUGGUAACCUGCCUCAUAGCGGGGGAUAACCAUUGGAAACGAUACCUAAUACCGCAUAACAUAAGAUGUGCCCAGAGGGGAUUAGCUAUUAGGUGGGGUAAUGGCUCACCUAGGCGACGACCCCUAGCUGGUCUGAGAGGAUGACCAGCCAAACUGGAACUGAGACACGGUCCAGACUCCUACGGGAGGCAGCAGUGGGGAAUAUUGCACAAUGGGCGCAAGCCUGAUGCAGCCAUGCCGCGUGUGUGAAGAAGGCCUUCGGGUUGUAAAGCACUUUCAGCGAGGAGGCGUUACUCGCAGAAGAAGCACCGGCUAACUCCGUGCCAGCCGCCGCGGUAAUAC